AGAACUAUUAUUGCGAAGAGUAGAAUGAUAGGGUAACGCCUUGAAAUGCUCUCUCAAAGUUACGAUUAGCAUAACAUUGAGUGAACAAUGGUGUGUUAAAAGCUCGUUAAAACGGACUAGGUAUUACCGUAAGAUGUGGUUAAACAAAUCACAACACGAAAAGCGAACUAGAGGUAGUCGAGUAAUAUAUGGUUCUAGAGUCCAUAAA
rnacentral:ncRNA from 1 species